CCUACGGGAGGCAGCAGUGAGGAAUAUUGGUCAAUGGCCGUAAGGCUGAACCAGCCAAGUCGCGUGAAGGAAGAAGGAUCUAUGGUUUGUAAACUUCUUUUAUAGGGGAAUAAAGGUAUCCACGUGUGGCUAUUUGCAUGUACCCUAUGAAUAAGCAUCGGCUAACUCCGUGCCAGCAGCCGCGGUAAUACGGAGGAUGCGAGCGUUAUCCGGAUUUAUUGGGUUUAAAGGGUGCGUAGGUUGUUUUUUAAGUCAGCGGUGAAAGUUUGUGGCUCAACCAGAAAAUUGCCGUUGAAACUGGAAGACUUGAGUGUGUUUGAGGUAGGCGGAAUGCGUGGUGUAGCGGUGAAAUGCAUAGAUAUCACGCAGAACUCCGAUUGCGAAGGCAGCUUACUAAGCCAUAACUGACACUGAAGCACGAAAGCGUGGGGAUCAAACAGGAUUAGAUACCCCAGUAGUC
rnacentral:rRNA from 1 species